rnacentral:rRNA from 1 species
GAUGAACGCUGGCGGCGUGCUUAACACAUGCAAGUCGAACGGAAAGGCUCCUGCUUGCAGGGGUACUCGAGUGGCGAACGGGUGAGUAACACGUGGGUGAUCUGCCCUGCACUUCGGGAUAAGCCUGGGAAACUGUGUCUAAUACCGGAUAGGACGAUGUUUUGGAUGCCAUUUUGGAAAGUUUUUUCGGUGUGGGAUGAGCUCGCGGCCUAUCAGCUUGUUGGUGGGGUAAUGGCCUACCAAGGCGUCGACGGGUAGCCGGACUGAGAGGGUGUACGGCCCCAGUGGGACAGAGAAGCGGGCAGGACGCAUACGGGAGGAAGGAGUGGGGAAUAGUGCAAAAUGGGCGGAAGGCUGAAGGAGCGAUGCCGGGUGGGAGAUGACGGCCUUAGGGGUGGAAAGACUUUGCGCGAGGGAAGAAGAGCAAGUGACGGUACCUGAAGAAGAAGCAACGGCUAACUACGUG